GCUUUUCAAGUAUUAAUUAGUACAAGUGACUUCCAAUCAUUUAGACUUGGUGAAAAUCCAAGGAAAGGCA
rnacentral:tRNA from 1 species